ACAACUAUUUCAGUACCAAAACGUCUGAACAGGUGAAUCCUGGAUCAGCCUAGAUGAUAUUUCACCGGAUUAUUUAUAGUAUGAAUAAUUCUAUACUGAGUAACCGGGUUCCCUGGAUCAGCUGAGAUGUUGUUUUUCCUGAAUUAUUUAAUGGAUAUAGGCUUAUUGGGCAUAUAAUUGGAUAUCUGUCCUCAACAUGGAAGAUAUGGUUUAUUCCUACCCAUCUAUAAUCAAUUCUCUAUGAAGUUCAGCCUGUCUGCCCUUCCUUUAGAAAUACACAGUCAGUCAACCAACAUAGAAACAAACUUGAAGGGAAAGAAUACUACAACGUGGCUCCUCAGGAUCAACAGUGAAAAAUCUUAAUCAAUAAUGACCCUCCUGACUAUGUUUACAGGCUGUAACCUUUAUUGCUGAUGUAAGAUGAUCUGAUUGCAUGGCAUUAAAAUUUCCUGGUGUUUCUACCAUCCAGGAUCUUCUUAUGAGUGCAUGGGAACUGCUGUGGACCUUAACCUGUUUAUAAAAAUAUACCUUCGAGCAUGACAUAUUAUUCAUGUAAGGAUUCUCAAAGGGGAACUCAGUAAAUUAUGCACAGACUAACAGAAUACAGUAUAUCCUCUCCUAGAACACUGAUACAAGAAAAUAAAACCAGAGAUGGAUGGAGGACUCAAGAAGCACAUGAAUAAAUAUGAUUUCAAACUAUGAUGAUCAUGAAUUGUGGUUCACAGGAUAAGAAAGAAAGGACCCAGGAUUGUGCAUUUUUCUAGAUCCUCUCCCAUUCAUAUCCUUCAUAUGCUGGCAUACAAAACAAUAGAUAAAUUGUAGUCAUUUAACAGACUGAAGUUUAAUCAAAUCAAAGUAUUGAAAAUGUGUUUUUCUGAUAGUAUGAGAUCUUCAAAAAAUAAUUCUCACAGAUUUCAAAGUAUCUAAAUAUAACUUUUAAUUUAUGUAGUACAAAUUGAAAACAGUUGUUAUAUAUGACUUUAAUACAUUGAAUCCUUAAUUUUCAUCUUAUAUCUACAACACCCCUAGAAAAUACACAGAUAUUCAGAAGCUAGCUUUGGUGUAUUUAUUACUUUCCUUGAAUUGUAAAAGCAUUUUGUUUGUGUAUGUAUCAUGUCCUAUUUUGAAUUUAAGAUAGGUCUCAAUAAGAUCCCCUAUAAAGAUGCAAGUGUCCCAUAAUCUGUGAUUUAAUAAUAUCUUGAAUAUCUUUAUCAUCCAUCAUACUUAUUACAUAUGGAAAGAUUGAAGGUAUACAUUUGUUUUUUAAGACAUUUUGCCAAGGUCAAAGCAUGAGAUUAUUGAGAUGAUUACUUUGACAU